rnacentral:rRNA from 1 species
UCAAGGAUCUUUCUCAAUGGCCGAAAGGCUGAAGGAGCGACAUCGCGUGCAGGAAGAAGCUCUUCGGAGUGUAAACUGCUUUUUUAGGGGAAAAAUUUUUGUGAUUGUACCUUAAGAAUAAGCCGCUGCAAAUCUCGUGCCAGCAGCCGCGGUAAUACGAGAGCGGCAAGCGUUAUCCGGAUUUACUGGGCGUAAAGAGUGUGUAGGCGGUUUAAUAAGUUUUCGGUUAAAGACCUUUGCUCAACAUUGGGAAUGCCGGAAAAACUAUUAAACUAGAGGCUGGGAGAGGCAAGUGGAAUUGCCGGUGUAGGGGUAAAAUCCGUUGAUAUCGGUAGGAACACCAAAUGCGAAGGCAACUUGCUAGAACAGCCCUGACGCUGAGACACGAAAGCGUGGGGAUCAAAAAGG